ensembl:lncRNA
GGAGGCCAGGCCCAUCCAUACCCAGAAGAGUCCACGGCCUGGCCUUCCUCUGGCCAUGCCCAAACCCCGCUCCCUGUCUGGGUCACCCACCACAGUCCUCCCCCAUAGACUUGCUUUUUACCACCUCACACCCACUCCAGUCUCUCUGCCAAACCCACAGCGCAGGGCACACAGAUCCAAGCCUCCCCCCAGCUCAAGAUGCGGCAGCCCACCUUGUAUCCCCUCGAAGCUGCAAGUGUAGUCCAGGCCCCCAUCCAGUCCUCAGUGUCCUCACCUCUCCUGUGCUUCACCUUAUCUGGGCCAAGUUCUGGGCAUGUGCAUUGGAAGGGCCCUCACCUCCCGCCAAACAGGAAGUCUGCAGUGCCCCCUGCUGGGCCUGGGCACCUUGCUAGGCCACCUCAAGCCACCUGAGCUUUCUCCUCCUACCUCUCUCCAGUUUCCCAGCCUGGCCUGGAGCUCAGAACCCCACUCAGGGACUCCCCUGUCUGGUCCUGCCAGCAUCCCUGCGCUAAAGCCCCAGGAAUCUCACCACCGGCUCUGACCCUGUCUCCCUCCCGCACUGGCCAGGGCAGGGGGAACAGGCACGGAGCAGCUGCCUGCACAGGUGUGUGUUCACAGGACGCCCCCACCCCUCCGCCAGCCCCUGCAUCCCGGGAAUCCUCACAGCCACCUCCCAGAGAAGGAGGCAGGGCAGAGAGAGGGCAGGGGAGUGUGAAGUGGGGGAAGCUGAGAACUUCUGGAGCACAGGGGCCUGCAGGUAACCUUGCAGCCAUGGGUAGAAGGAUGCAGGGGAGCCGGGGCUAAGGUCAGGGUGGGUACUGUGAGUUGCCCUGUCCGGCCUGCCCUGUGUGCUGUCAGGCUCCCAAUCAAGGUCUCCGGGAAUCCCUCAGCUCCCUGGAGCUCCCUCUGGCUCAGCUCAUCAGGCCUCCCUUUGGGGCUCAAAGCAGCACUCACUUGUCUGAGGUGAGCAGCAAGACAGUGUUGCCGUCCAUGGAGUAGGUGACGAAGGACAUCCGCAUAUUCAGUCUGAGACGGAAUCAAGUGCUGGUGAAAAGCCGGAGGCACCGGCUCAGAAGCCAGAGCGAAUGAUGCCAAUUCCCCACCUCCCACCCCAACUCUGUUAUGAAUUCCCUGUUAUGAUUGACAGGAGGCUUGACGCGAUGACUUUGUGACCUGCUGCUCUUCCCAAUAUCCUGCACGUUGACAACACCAGUGGGAGGCACAGGACCUUUAGAGGGGCUACAAGAGGAAGCCUCAAUUUCCCUUAUAACAGCCCUCAUGGUGUCCCUUAAAACUCCCAGACGCUGCCAUUUGUUCACUGGAAGAGUUAGCCUAGGUGACUUAGGUGAGGACAUUGCUGUAGGUGAGGAAGUCAAGGACUGGGAGGUCAGAGUGUUGGCAGUGAGAGGUCAUUUGUGUGACACUGAAGUCUCCCAGGGGAUAGCCGAUCUGGAAGGAGAUGGAAACUGCAGUGUUGCCAGAGUCCUUGUGAAUGAGGGACAUUCUGGUUCUUUACUGCUGUGCACCAGACCCCCCUCAUUUAGGGACACGGAACAGGCCCAUUUUAUUACGCUCACAGGUUCUGAGGAUCAGGCACUCAGGGCAGAGUAGGGAGGGCUUCCUCAAGUCUGGGGCCCCAGAUGGGAAGGCUUGAGCAGCCCACAUGACUUGAAGGAUUGGGCACUAGAAUUAUCUGGAGGCUGCUCCACUCACAAGUGUGGCUCCUGGGCAGGAGGGCUCAAAAGCUGGGCUCAGCUGGAACUGUGAAUGGAGAUCCUGCAUGUAGCCUCCCGGUGUGACUUGGGCUUCUUCUCAGCAUGGCAGCUUCAGGAUGCUUGGGCUUUUACAGGUGGCCCAGAGUUCCAAGAGUGAGUAUUUCCAGUGAGCAAGGCAGUAAUUGUAGAGUCUUUUAUGAUAUCACUUUGGAAGUCACACAGUGUCACUUCCACUGUACUCUAUUGGUCCAAGCAGUCGCAGCUGCCUAGAGUCAAUGGGAGGAACACAGGCCCCCUCUCUAGGGCAGGAGUGUGGACGAGUUCACAUCCCAUUGUCAAAACUGCUAUACGACCAAUGCUUUGAAUGGCAGAGACAUUAGUGUGUGGAAAAAUGUGGACACUGAUGAUGGGAUUCAAGUUGGACUCAGAAGUUAGACUGUGAUAGAAACACCUUAAUUUUAUUUUCUUCAUUUUUGUAUGCAGAAGUAAUAUAUGAUUAAAAAUCCUUCUUCAAUAAGUCUAAAAUAGAUCUUUCAACGUAUUUAACACAAAAAUUACAAGUGACAGCCAAGCAGGGUGGCUCAUGCCUGUAAUCUCAGCACUUGGGAGGCUGAGGAUGGCAGAUGACUUAAGGUCAGGAUUUUGAGAGCUGCCUGGCCAGCAUGGCGAAACCCAUCUCUACCAAAAAUACAAAAAUUAGCCAGGCAUGGUGGUGCACAUCUGUAAUCCCAACUACUCGGAAGGCUGAGGCAGAGAAAUCACUUGAAUUUGGGAGGCAGAGGUUGCAGAUUGCAAGAUUGCACCAUUGCAUGCCAGCCUGAGUGAGACUGUUUCUAAAAAAAAAAAAAA